UUUUGAAACUCUCACUCUCUCUCCUCGUUCACUCUAUUCUGCACCCUCUCUCUCUAUAAUUCAAUAUCUUCCGGAGAAGAAGCCAUUCACGGCGAUUGGAGGUGGUUUCCGCCUUCUUCUAUGGCGAGACCUCACCAGAACUCCUCCAAACCAAAAAACCGCCAACACUUACCCUAGCUAAAAUGACCUCCUCUUUCCAAAUCUUUUCUAAAAAUACAAACAAAAAAAAAACAAUCGACCGGAUCGAACACAAACAGAAUCCCAAAAUCCCAAUUCUCAAAAAUCAAAAUUUAACAUGAAUUCAUUACUAUUUCAACAAAAAACCAACAUUCAUCACAUAGGUUCAAGCUACACAAAUGAUUACAAAUCCUAAUUUCAAAGCAAUCAAGAAAACUCAAGGAUCACAUAAGCAAGCAACGUUUAAGCAUUAACAAUAACACAACAAGGAAGCCGCAUAAAAAUACCCAAACAGAUGAUUUCGAACUAAAGAGGUCAUAAGGUGAAGAUGAGCAGAUGGAGAAUGGAGAUGACAUAAGGCGUGAAGAUGAUGCACGAUGGAGAGCGAAUUUGCACUUUUAGUUUUCUAUUUUUUUGGAACAAACUUUGAUGUACCAUAAACAAACAUGUACUCUUAAUCUUAUUUUAUUUUCUAAAGACCUAAAAUGUACUAAAUACUUUUAUUUAGAUGUAAAAAUGUAUGUUUAUAUUAUAUUUCAAAA